rnacentral:rRNA from 1 species
AGCGGCGGACGGGUGAGUAACGCGUGGGUAACCUGCCCUAUACACACGGAUAACAUACCGAAAGGUAUGCUAAUACGAGAUAAUAUAAGAGAUUCGCAUGGAUUUCUUAUCAAAGCUGAGGCGGUAUAGGAUGGACCCGCGUCUGAUUAGCUAGUUGGUAAGGUAACGGCUUACCAAGGCGACGAUCAGUAGCCGACCUGAGAGGGUGAUCGGCCACAUUGGAACUGAGACACGGUCCAAACUCCUACGGGAGGCAGCAGUGGGGAAUAUUGCACAAUGGGCGAAAGCCUGAUGCAGCAACGCCGCGUGAGUGAUGAAGACCUUCGGGUCGUAAAACUCUGUCCUCAAGGAAGAUAAUGACGGUACUUGAGGAGGAAGCCCCGGCUAACUACGUGCCAGCAGCCGCGGUAAUACGUAGGGGGCUAGCGUUAUCCGGAUUUACUGGGCGUAAAGGGUGCGUAGGCGGUCUCUUAAGUCAGGAGUGAAAGGCUACGGCUUAACCGUAGUAAGCUCUUGAAACUGGGAGACUUGAGUGCAAGAGAGGAAAGUGGAAUUCCUAGUGUAGCGGUGAAAUGCGUAGAUAUUAGGAGGAACACCAGUAGCGAAGGCGGCUUUCUGGACUGUAACUGACACUGAGGCACGAAAGCGUGGGGAGCAAACAGGAUUAGAUACCCUGUAGUCCACGCCGUAAACGAUGAGUACUAGGUGU